UAAGAAAGAUCUUCUGCUAAGCACGUGCACGUCCUGUGCACAACGCAGAAGUCACCACAUCCUGUGAA
rfam:Sporolactobacillus laevolacticus DSM 442 Contig019, whole genome shotgun sequence.